CAAGUUUAUAAUCACAGAAAUGAAGUGCUGAAAUAGUCACCCAGAAGUAAUGGGCGGUGAAAACUGGUUUCAAAAUGGACUAAAAAGUCUUAUUGCAGCUUUAUAGAAUGAUACUCAGUGAACCAAAGAGGUCUCAUCCAGUUCAGUUUCCCAGCUACUAAAAUGCAGGAUCUGGCAGUCAUCUGAAAUCUGUGCAUGCAUUGAACUGCUACCAAUUAAAAUAAUUGUCACCUGUCUUUUCUUACCAGGACCAUCACCCUGAGGAACCCAGAAGAUUUAAACCACUCUUGCACUCCUGGUUAUCUGGAGAAGUCUCAGAGGACUGGAUGCUUGCCAACAUGACUCUCAUCUACAAGAAGGGCCGUAAGGAGGAUCUGGGGAACUACAGGCCUGUCAGCCUGACCUCGGUGCCAGGGAAAGUUAUGGAGCAAGUCAUCUUGGGAAGAUGCUCACUUGAGAAAUUUUUACUUCCUCCUAUGUUAAGGAAAAAUCUACACAAAUAAUGUGCCAUCUACCUAACUCUGGAGAAACUUUAAGUGUCUUAAUUUGAAGAUAUGUUUCAUUGACAUCCAAAUGGGUUGGAUUUGCUGCUUUCCUCCUCAGCAAGAAGAUCAAUCGGUAAAGACAAGUACCUUAUAAGCAUGGCAUAAUCUAGUCUGAAGGUACAUGUUGUAUUUUAUCUUAUUUUUUAUUUUUCUUGAUGUCAUCAGUUAUAUUUCCUUCAAUAUUUAAAAGCUUUGCAUAGGGGUGAGAUAUGAACAGUAGAUUCAACUGCAAUCAUAGGCACAGUAUUUGCUGUUUAUGCCCUUUCCUCACUGUCUGACCUUGUGCUGGCUAUUUAUUCAAAAUCUUCAGUUUUGGAUUCCAUUUCAAAUGCUGAAGUACCAGUCCAUUCAAUAUCCUGGUUAUUUUAAUUUAUAUUUCCAUGCUCAGUCUUUCCUCAAAUGAUUGUUGGCUCUUAUUUAAAGUAGAAGACCCCAGGCGAUGUUCUCACCAGCAACAUUUGCAUGGUAGCCUACAGCACUCUCCAGAAAGGAGGCCAUUUGGAUGUGGAGUCCCCCUCAAUGGGAAAAAAUCCAGCUCAUUCCUACGCAUCUUCCCACCCAUUCCCCUGCAGGAGAUUCACUUGUAGGACCUUCAUCAUCCCACCUGUCAGGCUGUUAUGGCAUAGCCAGGCACAGAGCCGUAGGAAUUCCAAACGGGUUUCACAACAAAAGUGCUAAGUGAAUGGAAAAUGCUGCAUCUCACUCACAUUUUGGUGCUCACUGAUGGUGCAGGAGAGAGAAACCCAUUGCUGCAGUGUGAACUACCAUGAAUUUGGACAGAGAAGCAGGCAAGCAGGUAGGCUGGGUGUUUUGCAUACUGCAGUUAUGCACCUAAAUUCCACUUUAAACCAAAUGUGAGCACUUCAGUCCUUGCAAAGUUACUUCUUGAUUAACUAGUUGCUGAUAAAACCUUAGUCCAACAGCAGUCAAAGGGAAGCUUUAUGCCUCUGGUUUACCUGAUUUUCCUGACCACUUCAGGCUCUCCUAACCUCUGCAGCUUGCCCCUCUCUAGAGGAGCAGUAACACCCUACCAGGGUUUAUGUAACUGCUACUCAAUAUUGCUUUAAGCUUCCUCCAUCUGACAUGUAUAACUUCCACCUGCUCAGUCACCCAAGUCCUGACUUGAACUAAUGACUCUUUAUAUACUACAGUGCUAUAUUUGCUCCCAGCAGGCUGAUAACAAAGUAUACAGAGGAGAACCCGACCUAGUUUAUGCUAUAGUUCGAGACAAGAAUUGCUUUACACUGGUUGUUAUCACAAGGCAGUAGGAUCAGUUUGAGAUUGUUGCUGUUGAGAGAACAAGAAAACUGCAAAUAUGGUGAGAAAUCUGUGUGCCAUGCUGCCUUAAAAUGCCGGAGAACCACUACUCUAUCAUUAGCUAUAAUUUUAACCUUUGACGAUGCUGUCGAUGAGCGUUGGUAUUUUGUCAUCGCUGUACUAUUUGUAAAAAAAAAACAAAAAAAAACCAACUGUUUCUCUCCAUUGGCUUUUUCUUUCAUCUCUGUGGUUGGCAGCCUUGAUAUUUGUUUUUCUGCCUAAUGGAAAUUCUAGAACUACUGGUAGAAAGCGAAGUGUUGCUAUGAAAAACACAAGGUUUCUCUCUCCCCCUUUAAAUACUUCUUUCUUUCUCUCUGUUUUAAAAGGAAUACUUUACAAUGUAAAUGAAUACUGCUUCCUCCCCCUCCCAGUUUGUUCCAAAGGCAGCAGGGACUUUUAAAAAGCAGUUUGUCUCUAAACUUACCAGUGAGAUAAUUCUGAGUCACUGUGAAAAGUUUGUUUCUGUCCACCCCCUCCUCUUCUGCACAAAUCUGUUAUCAGGCAGUGCUGAGAGCAGAGCAACUGUGGAGUCUCUAAAAUGCCAGCAAAGAUGAUCAAAUUUCCAGUGAUAAAAUGUAGGAAUAAACAAAGCAUUGUAGCGUGGAAGAAAGAUUCAGUCCUGCUCUUCAUUUUACAAUUUCCUUUGUCUCCUCAUUUACACUAAAUAAAUACAAAAAAAGAAAAAGGCCAGCAAGUACUCUGUACUCCACUAGUGCAGAGUAAAGCAGCUCACAGGCUUUCUGUUUAAAGCAACUUUGUGAAGUUCUGGUUAUCAGUGAAGUUUUCUCAUUUUUAAUUCGGGCAACUUUUGUUACUCCAGAGAUCUCCAGCCCCUCACCCCUUAAAGCAUGCCCUGCUCGUGCACGCAGAAUGAUCUUUCUGGAUGGUCCCCCAUGGAGUGCAGCACAGCUCCAGUUCCCACAUGUAAAUAGCUGCAAAGAUAGAAAAGUCCAUUCACCUUUCUGGGACACGGCCACUGGUGACAUUUGUUCCCUCUCCAUAGUAUUCUGGGAAGCCAAUUUAAAGAACCAGCUGGGCACUCUCUAUCCCACAUUUCUCUGGAUAAUACUGGUUUUAUGGUCACCUUAUUUCCCUGCUGUCUGGUUACGUGAGGAUGAGGGGAUGGGAGUUCAAAAGAUUUACAUGCAGUGUAGGCAGGGCAAAUAUGCUCUAACACACAGGAUAGACGUGUUCAGAGCUGUUGUAUUAAUGAAGAAAACUUCUUGCAUUCUAUAUUUCCUGGUAGAGGUCAGUUUUAGCACUAUAAUAGACACAUUCCUGGCCAAAGACAAGAGGAGUCAUGAGGAAAUUCAACGUACUGCGGUACUUGUGUGCUGAAUUCACUGUAUUCCUGUGGGCACAAGCCCCUCAAGUGACCAGAGACGUCUUGCUGUUGAAUUUGUGAUAUGGUUGGAUAGAAGCAGCAGUGGAGAUGCUCCACAAAGUCAACGAGCAGCUGUCCUGAGCACGUAGCAGCAGAAACUGAGGGGUGAAGGGGAACAAGAAACGCCUACAUCUCCCUGGGUGCUAGAAAGCAUGGUGUAUUUUGAGAAUGACUUACUGAAUUCCACUUUAGUAUUGUUUUAGAUUUUUUUUUCUCCAGUAUGUGGCACCAUGUCCAAGCAACAGUUGUGUCUGCGUAGUCUGGGAACAUCGUCCUUACAAGCAGAUGGCUCUACCUCUAUUGGAACGUGCGAGGGAUGCAUAUGCAAAGUGAGGCAUGAAAAUGUUCAAGAAAAUUCAGAAGGCAGAAGUUCUGGAAAAUUCAGGAGACACCACACAUAGAAUGACGCGAACUCACAUGCCUGGGUGCUGGAUUUCAUCUCUAGGGCUCCAGUUUGUGUUCCUGGAUUGUUGAUAUCUGAGGCAAUUUUCUAUUCUGAAAAUUACUCUGCCCCAGUUCUUAGGAAACAUGAACAACUGGCAGAUGGGAUUAAAACAAGUAAUGUAAUGAAAUGUCACCUUAAUCUGUUGAUACUAGCAAGGACUUCAUAAAGAAAGGUUUCAUCCUGUCAAAUUUUGUGCCCAAAUAACUUAUAAACCUCAGCACGGAUCCAUACCACAAACUGAACAUACAUGUACACCACCAAAGUUUAGAGUGACAAUUUAGGAGAGAAAGAAAUGCAGCAGUGUGAUAAAAGGGGCUGAGGAACUACAGUUUGCUUUCCCCUUCUAGAGGCACAAUGAAACUCAGAGCUUUGCAUGAGCUACUCUCCCAGUGGCUCAAGAUAUUAGGAGAGGAGCAUUCUUCUUGUAUGUUAAACAUUUAAAGCUAUAA
ensembl:lncRNA